GAUGAACGCUGGCGGCGUGCCUAAUACAUGCAAGUCGAGCGAAUGGAUUAAGAGCUUGCUCUUAUGAAGUUAGCGGCGGACGGGUGAGUAACACGUGGGUAACCUGCCCAUAAGACUGGGAUAACUCCGGGAAACCGGGGCUAAUACCGGAUAACAUUUUGAACCGCAUGGUUCGAAAUUGAAAGGCGGCUUCGGCUGUCACUUAUGGAUGGACCCGCGUCGCAUUAGCUAGUUGGUGAGGUAACGGCUCACCAAGGCAACGAUGCGUAGCCCACGAGAGAGGGAAAUCAGCCGGACUGGGACGGGGACACGGGCAAGACUACCUAGUGAGGCAGCUGUAGGGAAACUUCCGCAAUGGACGAAAGUCUGACGGUGCAAGGCCGCGUGGGUGAUGAAGGCUUUCGGGUCGUAAAACUCUGUUGUUAAGGAAGAACAAGUGCUAGUUGAAUAAGCUGGCACCUUGACGGGACCGAACCAGAAAGCCACGGCUAACAACGUGCCAGCCGCCGCAGUAA
rnacentral:rRNA from 1 species